rnacentral:rRNA from 1 species
AGCAGCCGCGGUAAUUCCAGCUCCAAUAGCGUAUAUUAAAGUUGUUGCAGUUAAAAAGCUCGUAGUUGAAUUUCGGGAUCAAUACGUCGGUCGUGCUUCGGUACGUACUGGCGUCAUUGAUUUCUCCCUUCUGACGAACCAUGAUGUCAUUAACUUGGUGUCAUGGGAAAUCAGGACUGUUACUUUGAAAAAAUUAGAGUGUUUAAAGCAGGCUCACGCUUGAAUACAUUAGCAUGGAAUAAUGAAAUAGGACGUUCGAUCCUAUUUUGUUGGUUUUAGGAUCAACGUAAUGAUUAAUAGGGAUAGUUGGGGGCAUUAGUAUUCAAUUGUCAGAGGUGAAAUUCUUGGAUUUAUUGAAGACUAACUACCGCGAAAGCAUUUGCCAAGGAUGUUUUCAUUAAUCAAGAACGAAAGUUAGGGGAUCGAAGACGAUCAGAUACCGUCGUAGUC